rnacentral:rRNA from 1 species
GGGAACUCAUAGGAGACUGCCGGGGUCAACUCGGAGGAAGGUGGGGAUGACGUCAAAUCAUCAUGCCCCUUAUGUCUUGGGCUUCACGCAUGCUACAAUGGCCGGUACAAAGGGCUGCAAUACCGUAAGGUGGAGCGAAUCCCAAAAAGCCGGUCUCAGUUCGGAUUGAGGUCUGCAACUCGACCUCAUGAAGUCGGAGUCGCUAGUAAUCGCAGAUCAGCAACGCUGCGGUGAAUACGUUCCCGGGCCUUGUACACACCGCCCGUCAAGUCAUGAAAGUCGGUAACACCCGAAGCCGGUGGCCCAACCCUUGUGGAGGGAGCCGUCGAAGGUGGGAUCGGUAAUUAGGACUAAGUCGUAACAAGGUAGCCGUACCGGAAGGUGCGGCUGGAUCACCUCCUUUCUAAGGAG